CCAGCUGCUUCGAAGUCAUCAGGCUCAGUCUGGGGUUCAGCCUUUAGCUUUCUCCUCGGAACUCUAAGGGGACUGACCUACACGCUGCUCAGGGACUUGUGCAAACAGCUUGCAGUGUAUCGAAACGUGCACGAACCCGGGAAGACAUCGGAUGCUAACGACUGGUGAACUAAACCAGGCAGUUUGAAUGAGACGAGGGACGAGACAAACAUGCAAAAGAGCACAUACGUGGGGCUGCGUAACCAGGAUUCCAUCUGCAACUUUAACCGUCCGCUGCAAUAUCCCUUCUUCACCCCAGAGUUCAGAGAGACCAUCCCCAGCUGCAAUAAUGUUGGCGACUCCCACAUCAUGUACCAUCCGCAAAGGCAGCGUCAAGAGAUGACUGGUAAUUCAUCACCACCUGAUACUGAAGA
rnacentral:lncRNA from 1 species